CAGGAAGACGAAGGGAAACGGAUUUGGCAUGUGUGUAUAAAUUUAAAAUAUCAGACGGUAAUUGGAUAUGAAAUUCCAACGUGAGUGUUUUAAUACUUUUUCAGUUAACCAUGAAUUUUUUUUCGAUGUUUAGAGUUUUUUUCCAGUAAGGUUUAUUAUGUAUGUAGCUAAGGCCAAACAAAGGCUAGAUCAUCUUACAAUGAGGAAGGUGAAGAUGGCACAUUGCUGCGGGAAUGAGAUUAAGGUAAAUUGUUUUUUUUUUUUGACACUUUGUUUUAUUGAACUGAUUUGAAACUGAUUAAGGUAAAUUGUUAAUAGAGAUAUUUUAGUUAUUCUUAACUGUAAGUUGCUACAUUUAUCCAUAGUUUAUAUAGUUUUAUCUAAAUACAAAUUAUUACUCUUCUGCAUCCCUUGACACUCAUGAUAUUAGAUACUUAGACAAUCUAAUUAAC
rnacentral:lncRNA from 1 species